CCUACGGGUGGCAGCAGUGGGGAAUCUUCCGCAAUGGGCGAAAGCCUGACGGAGCAACGCCGCGUGAUCGAAUGAAGGCCUUCGGGUUGUAAAGAUCUGUUGACAGGGACGAAUAAGCCAUGCGAAUAGUUUGGUGUAUGACGGUACCUGUUUAGAAAGCUCCGGCUAACUACGUGCCAGCAGCCGCGGUAAUACGUAGGGAGCAAGCGUUGUCCGGAUUUACUGGGCGUAAGGGCGCGUCGGGGGGUGGUUAAGUCAGGUUUGAAAACUCUGGGGUCAACCUGGAGACUGCACUUGAAACUGGGUGUCUUGAGGGCAGAACAGGCAGGUGGAAUUCCUGGUGUAGCGGUGAAAUGCGUAGAUAUUAGGAGGAACACCAGUUGCGAAGGCGACUUUCUGGACUGUGCCUGACGCUGAGGCGCGAAGGCGUGGGUAGCGAACGGGAUUAGAUACCCCUGUAGUC
rnacentral:rRNA from 1 species